rnacentral:rRNA from 1 species
UGACAGGUGCUGCAUGGCUGUCGUCAGCUCGUGUCGUGAGAUGUUCGGUUAAGUCCGGCAACGAGCGCAACCCACAUCCUUAGUUGCCAGCAGUUCGGCUGGGCACUCUAGGGAAACUGCCCGUGAUAAGCGGGAGGAAGGUGUGGAUGACGUCAAGUCCUCAUGGCCCUUACGGGUUGGGCUACACACGUGCUACAAUGGUGUCUACAGUGGGUUAAUCCCCAAAAGACAUCUCAGUUCGGAUUGUCGUCUGCAACUCGACGGCAUGAAGUCGGAAUCGCUAGUAAUCGCGUAACAGCAUGACGCGGUGAAUACGUUCCCGGGCCUUGUACACACCGCC